UGCAAUUCCAUUCCGCCAAAAACAUACCGGUGGGACUGGAUUUGUAUCCGAGGACAUAGCUUUGAAGUGUCGUGGAAAUAUUUUCAAGGGAAGAGCUCCCUCCUCAUACAAUUCAUAUUCAACCGUCGAUGAUCAAGGUUGAAAAGGACCCGAAGCUUUCAGAUAUCAGGACCGUUGGUGCACUUGAAAUAGUACAAACAAGUUUUGGUGAAUCAUGGUGAGAAGGAUGGUUUGACUGCAGCCAGAAUGAUCUUAUCUGGGAUUCCUCUGGACAAAACAUACCUACAGAAUCGUCUGUCCAUCCUGAUGAACGAUGAAAAGAAGAGUUUGAAAGGAGGAAGGAUUCCUAUUCCAGAUUUUUACUAUCUAAUGGGGACAGCCGAUCCCACAGGAAUUCUUAAAAGUGAUGAAGUUUGUAUUAUCCUGAACUGUGCAGUCCCUGAAUCAGCAUAUAGAGCAAGGCAGAAGUGCAUCGCGGACAAGACCCAUCAGUAUCCUUAACAUGGACAUUGCAGAGUCUGACCCUUCCCUGUUCCAGAGGCUCUUCCACUAGAUGGCGGGGUAGAGAUCAGAGGAAUGACCGUAGCAGGUGAUGAGACGGAUCUCAGGUCUGGGAAGGUGUUUGAGUGGAGAAUUGAAAGCCUUUUCCCGACUGGGCUCUUCUCUCUUUUGAGCUGCCCAGACCCAUUGAUCACACAGUUCACCGGCAACUUUAGUGCAGAUGGGAUUUUCCAGUGAUUCAUCGAGAAGUGGAUGGACAAUCGCUAAAUCUGGCAACUGAGGCUUCAUAGGAGUAUUGACUUCAUAAAGGGAAAAUGUCGGAGCGUUUCCGGGCACUUGCUAAGGCUCUUUAGUUAUGCUUUUGUUAAGUAGACUUUUCAAAAAGUUCUUCGUCUCGUACGUUAGUCCUCAUCCAUUCUACUAAUAGGAUAUAUUUGCCCUUUAAAGUAUUGGAUACUCUUGUUUUCCUAUAGAGAAUAUGUUGCUCUGCACAUAAAAUCAGAUUAUGCAAGCAAGUUUAUUUGGUUGUGAUUUUUCGCUUGUUUUCUCAUUACCUAUGCUGAGGUACCUUAAGCCAG